ensembl:lncRNA
ACACGGACAGAAUCUCCCAGCUUUGGGGCAACAGACGCGGGCAACUUUGUGUGAGCGGCGCUGCGCAAAGGAAAGUGAAGCAAACGCACCAGCUGAGAGUGCUGCGAUUCCAGAGGAGCGACGCGGCGCCCAGGAGAUUCAGACCCAGCUCACUUUGAAGAUUAGAGGGCUGACAGCGUCUAAAGGACACUGAGAGCAUGGAUUAGGCAUCUCAAGCUCCCCUACUUCUCUUCACUCCUACAUCUUGUCCUCUGAGUAUUUGCGCAAUGACCUUUGGUGCACUUGGAUUGCAGCGGGUACGCCCGUGAGCUGGUUCCACGUCUGGAAGAUAAGAAUCUACAGAGCAAGAAGGUCGUUAUCAGAUCCGCGGAUAAGAAAGGAGAUCUCUUUCAGGUGGGCAGGCACUAAGCCUUGACAAAAGAUGCAACAGGGGCGAUGGCUCAUCGGGUGCCUGGGGGCAGGAAUGGCAAUUCUCUCUUUGAUAAGCCACAGCUGGGGCCAGGACACAGAAGAGUGUAAGCUGUCCCGCCCAGGCCCUCCUGCAACCAUAGUAACCAUUGAUGAAGAGAGUCCCAAUGGUACCGUCUUGGUGGAAAACAUGCAGAUAAACGGCCGUGCGCAGGAUCCAGGUCGAACCAUUUCGCUGACUCUGCUGGACAACUACGACUAUUGGGUGAUUUUGGAACCGGCCCAGCAGCGGCUGUAUCUCAACAGCACAGGACGCGUUCUGGACAGAGACCCCCCAAACUACAUCAUGACCAUAGUGGUGCAAGUCCAGUGCACCAACGAGCUGGUUGGUACUGUUAUUUUCCACGAGGUGCGGAUCGUCGUGAGGGACAGGAACGACAACAUCCCCCGCUUUCAGCAGCCGCGUUACUAUGUUGCCGUCAAUGAGCUCACGCCAGUCGGAACAACGAUUUUCACUGGAUUCUCAGGGAAUAAUGGCGCCACCGAUAUCGACGAUGGACCUAAUGGACACAUAGAAUACAGCGUCCUUUACAACCCCAAUGACCCGGAGUCCAACAAGACAGUAAGCGUUGGAAACACGCUUUCAGGGCACAUUAUCCUGGCAGAGAGGCUAAACUACGAGGAGAGGACACGUUACCUGGUUGUUGUCCAAGCUAAUGACCGAGCACCUUACCCACCCAACAGGCGAACGGCUACAACCACCCUGACCGUGGACGUUCUGGAUGGAGACGACCUGGGCCCCAUGUUCCUGCCGUGUGUGUUAGUGAACAACACGCGUGACUGCAACCCGCUCUCCUACCGCGCUGCUAUCCCUGAAUUCACUGAACCGAGCAAAUUGAACCCACUGAACGUGACCCCCCCGAUUCGUGCCGUGGACAUGGACAGGAACAUCCAGCCUCCAUCCAACAGACCCGGAAUUCUGUACUACAUCCUGGUUGCCACAUUUGCAGAGUAUUUCUCCCUGAACAAAACCACAGCGGAGCUGCGCGUUCUGCAACCAAUCAACAGAGACUUAUAUCAGAGGUUCACCCUCAUCAUCAAGGCUGAGCAGGACAACGGACACCCCCUCCCGGCCUACGCCGACCUCAUCAUCGAGAUCCUGGAUGAGAACAACCAGGCGCCGUACUUCCAGCUCGCCACCUAUCAGGGAUACGUGAGUGAGUCUUCGCCGGUGGGUACAACCAUCUCAGGCAGCUCAAACCUGACGACGCCCCUGGAAAUCAUCGCACUGGACAAUGACAUCGAGGAGACAAAAGACCCGUUGGUGAAGAUUUCCCUCGACAACUACGCCACGAUAUUUGGUGUGACUCCGACUGGCAUAGUGCGCUACCUGAGACUGGUUACACCUGUGGACCGGGAGAAGCAGAUGGCUUACACGUUCACGAUGGUGGCAUCGGAUGGUGUCCAGCAGAGCACCCCAGUGACUGUCAACAUCCUGGUCAUCGACGCCAAUGACAACACGCCCACAUUCGCCAAGGCCUCCUACAAUGUUGAAGUCUUCACCGACAUGCAGCCGGGGGAAACCGUUCUCCAGUUAACUGCAGCGGAUGCUGAUGAAGGAUUGAACGGCCUGGUGACGUAUGAGAUAUUGGCCGGGGCCCAGGGACACUUCAUCAUUAAUAAUCGCACAGGUCGCCUCACCGUGGCGCCAGGCGUGGCUUUAACUGUGGGACAGUCUUAUGCACUGACUGUCAAGGCCUCAGACGGGGCUCCAGAAACACAGCGAAGGAGCUCCAUCACCACCGUCUACAUUGAGGUUUUGCCACCCAAUAACCAGAGCCCGCCGCGCUUCCCCCUCCUCACCUACAGCCUGGAGGUCAGCGAGGCCAUGAGGAUCGGAGCGAUCCUGCUCAAUCUGCAGGUGAGAUUCUUUUCUGUAAAUGAGAUCGGGCUGUUACUUCUGGGGAAGCCUCUGGACAGAGAGAGCACAGAUCAGUACCGCCUGAUCGUCACAGCCUCCGAUGGGAACCCUGGAGGGACUUCCACCACCACGGUCGACAUUGUCGUCACAGAUGUCAACGACAACGAUCCCAAAUUUGACUUCGCCAUACCUGUUAACUUCACCGUCCGAGAAGAAGAGGCCGACCUUUUUGUGGGCCUUGUGAGGGUGAAUGCGGGGGCUAACGGCCAGGUGGGCUACCGGAUCAUAAAUCACCCCGACUUGUUUGUGAUCAGUGCCAAUGGCAGCAUCUACACGAAGGUGCCUCUGGACCGGGAGCUCCGGAGCCAGUAUGAUCUUGUUGUGGAGGCGUCGGACGGGGCUGUGGAUCCACGCAGUCCGGUUUUCUCCCAGCAAAAUUACGUGGUGAAUGUUCCAGAAAACACGCCUGUGGGGACCGUCGUAUUGAAGCUAAGCGCAACAGACUCGGACCUCUUCUCCAAUGUCACCUACCGGAUCAGGACUGAGGCAGCCCGACAGCUGUUUUCUCUGAACCCUAUUACAGGGGAGCUGGCUGUGCUGCAGACGCUGGAUUUUGAGGACCUGGCAGCUUUGGGCAUUGGGACCUCUUAUGCUUUCCAGGUAGAGGCUAUAGACCAAGGAGGGAUCAUGCCCCCGGGGCAGGCAACUGUCACAGUCCGCAUCACGGUAGGAGACAUGAAUGACUUCUCACCCGUGUUUAGCCAAGACCUGUACAAAGGCAUGGUGGCACCCAAUGCAGAGAAAGGAACGGUGAUAACAACGGUGUUAGCGGAGGAUCGGGACCCUCCGGAUACCCCAGCCAGCUUUGUCCGCUACCGAGUUGACCUGGACAGGUCUCCCUACAGCGGCAGCAUCUUUGACGUGGAGGAGGAAACGGGAAGAAUCGUCACUAAGGUCAACCUCAACGAAGAACCCAGCGUCACCUUUAAGUUGUUUAUCAUCGCCUUUGACGACGGCGAACCGGUGAAGACCAACAGCACUCUGGUGGAGAUCACUGUCCUCCAGCCCUCUCGGAUCCCCAUCUUCACCCAGGAGGAGUACAGGUUUCCUCCAGUAAGCGAGCUGGCUCCAUUCGGCACCCCGGUGGGGACGGUUCUGGCUGCUGCUGUCAAUCAAAGCAUCUUCUACUCCAUCGUAGGAGGCAAUGAUUUAGGUCAUUUUCAGAUCAACAACAAGACAGGCGUCAUCUCCACAGCCAAACCUCUGGACUACGAAAAUGUGACAAGCUACGUCCUGCGGGUGCAGGCGGACUCCAUGGAGGUCGUCAUGUCCAACCUGCGCGUUCCCUCUAAAACUAACACAGCCAAGGUGUUCAUCGAAGUGCAGGAUGAGAAUGACCACCCACCCGUCUUCUCCAGGAAGCUCUACAUCGGCGGCGUGACAGAGGACACCAAGAUCUUCAGCUCCGUGCUCAAGAUAGCCACUGACAAGGACACCGGGAAUUACAGCGAGAUGGCGUACCGCCUGAUUAUUCCGCCCACCCAAGAGGGCCAGGACAGCUUCGUCAUCGAGACCUACACAGGCAUCAUCAAGUCGGCCAUCAUGUUUCGGAACAUGCGCAGGUCCUACUUCAAGUUUCAAGUCAUUGCCACCGACGACUACGGAGCAGGGCUCAGCAGCAGUGCUGAAGUGGUGGUUUCUGUGGUCAACGCCUUGGACAUGCAAGUUGUUGUGUCCACCGUGCCGCCCACUUUAGUGGAGGAGAAGAAGGACGAGCUCAUUAGUAUUUUGGAGCGCCACGUCCAGGACCAGAUUCCGGGUGCCAAGGUGAUAGUAGAGUCCAUCGGCCCCCGUCGUCAUGGCGAUGGCUUUGAGCUAGAGGACUACACUAAAUCCGACCUGAUGGUCUACGCCAUUGACCCCCUCACAAACAGGGCCAUCUCUCCCAAGGAGCUCUUCAAAUUCCUCGAUGGCAACGUCCUGGAAAUCAAUAAGGAGUUCCAGCCGUAUCUGGGGGAAGGCGGCCGCAUCCUGGAGAUCCGCUCCCCCGACAUCGUGGCCAGCGUGAAGAAGGCCGCCCAGGCCGUGGGCUACACGGAGGGGGCGCUCCUGGCCCUGGCCAUCAUCAUCAUCCUCUGCUGCAUCCCCGCCAUCCUCAUCGUCAUGGUCACCUACAAACAGUUUUUUCUUCUUCUUCACCUCCUCUUUUACUGUGGCAGGGCUAAAAAGUCUGUCAUUGAAGAGGCAGAGCGCCAACGGCUCCUUAGCACAUUCGCCUGUCGCGCCAUCACAGCCCGCAGCAACGGAGCGCUGCAGGUUAAUUUGCCCAGGUCGGAAAGCAACGUGACGUUCCUUUCCGACUGCAACCCACUCACCACUCGCAACCCCCUCUAUGAUGACAGCAGUCCCAGCAGUCCUGAUGUCUUUGCACAGAGGCGCGGCUUGCCUGAAAAGCGAUGGACCGCCUCCCCUUCCUAUUCACCCGGGUCGGGGGGGUUCAGAUCAGUGCCUGCUCGCAUUCACAGUGGACUGCCGGGUUGCGAGGGGCCAAGGAGGCAAGCUCUUAUGGACCCAGACGAUUGGGAGGCAUCAGAAGCCAGGAAAAGGCUGCAGAGUUUCAAUACACUUCAGCUAGGAGACAACACAGACACCAAGCUGUCCGUCCGUCAGCAGGCCAAGCAGUUUGAGCAGAAGGUCAUCCAGGAUCAAACCCUCAGGCAGAGCAGAGACUCCCCCAGUUCUCUUCCAUCCAUCAUUUUCAGGAACAGAAACAGUGACUCUGUAGUAGAGCUGCCCUCAGAAACCCUGCUCUCCAUCCUGGACCACAGCACGGCAACUGUGGGCAGGGACGCCCCACCAGUGGUUGUCGUAUCCCAGGGUGACGAAGCACGCCCCCAGAGACCAUCCCAGCUUGAUAUCAGGAGGUUCAGCUCCAGUAUCGGCAACUUCAUGGCACUUCAACCUUGUCAGAUCACGGUGGAAAUGAUCCCAGACCCACCAGAGGAUCCUCCGCCUCCCCCUCCAGAACGGCCACCUCCCUCCUCCCCAAAAACAUCCCCUCCUUAUAGUCUGCCAUCUACCCCUCCUUUACCCUCCCAUCUCCACAAACCCGAGUGCCCCCUUCAGCCGCCUCCUGGAUCCAGCAGCCAGGGGUCCCCCCCAACACCACCACCGCUCCCCCCACCACUCUCCCCAGCGAGCAAUCAGCUGUGCCAGCUUCUCCAGUUUGUUCCAGCAUCUCUGCCGCCGGUGUCCUCACUGCGUCCCGUCUCGCAGCGAAAACACCCCCCUCCUCCUGAGUCAUCUCAAACUGACUGUGGGAGGAAAAAGGAGCUCAAAGGGAUCCUGAAAAACAUCCAGAAUCUCGCUGACAUAGAGAGGUCCAUUGCCAACAUGUACAGCCAAGUAGACAAAAACUACAAGGUGCCCAAGCUUCAUCCUAAACCACAAGUGACUGAAGAAUCCGAAGACACCGAAAGUACUCAAAGCUCGGAUCCCUGGGAUGAGCAGAGCACCACCAAAACAACCAAAUCCACUUCCGCAGAUGACUCAACAAUUACGAACUGCGCUGAAAGCGAACCACGUCCCCUGAACGCGCCAUCAGAGAGCCAAUCGAAACCAAGCCCAGACUCUGCUGACCUGAGUGACUCCCAGUCCACCGUGUUCUGA